ACGGGUGAGUAAUAUAUCGGAACGUGCCCAGUCGUGGGGGAUAACUGCUCGAAAGAGCAGCUAAUACCGCAUACGACCUGAGGGUGAAAGCGGGGGAUCGCAAGACCUCGCGCGAUUGGAGCGGCCGAUAUCAGAUUAGGUAGUUGGUGGGGUAAAGGCCCACCAAGCCAACGAUCUGUAGCUGGUCUGAGAGGACGACCAGCCACACUGGGACUGAGACACGGCCCAGACUCCUACGGGAGGCAGCAGUGGGGAAUUUUGGACAAUGGGCGCAAGCCUGAUCCAGCCAUGCCGCGUGCGGGAAGAAGGCCUUCGGGUUGUAAACCGCUUUUGUCAGGGAAGAAAAGGCUUCUGCUAAUACCGGAGGCUCAUGACGGUACCUGAAGAAUAAGCACCGGCUAACUACGUGCCAGCAGCCGCGGUAAUACGUAGGGUGCAAGCGUUAAUCGGAAUUACUGGGCGUAAAGCGUGCGCAGGCGGUUAUGCAAGACAGAUGUGAAAUCCCCGGGCUCAACCUGGGAACUGCAUUUGUGACUGCAUGGCUAGAGUACGGUAGAGGGGGAUGGAAUUCCGCGUGUAGCAGUGAAAUG
rnacentral:rRNA from 1 species